CCUACGGGUGGCAGCAGUGAGGAAUAUUGGUCAAUGGCCGUAAGGCUGAACCAGCCAAGUCGCGGGAAGGAAGAAGGAUCUAUGGUUUGUAAACUUCGUUUAUAGGGGAAUAAAGGUAGCCACGUGUGGAGAGUUGCAUGUACCCUAUGAAUAAGCAUCGGCUAACUCCGUGCCAGCAGCCGAGGUAAUACGGAGGAGGCGAGCGUUAUCCGGAUUGAUUGGGUUUAAAGGGUGCGUAGGUUGUUUUUUAAGUCAGCGGGGAACGUUUGUGGCUCCACCAUAAAAUUGCCGUUGAAACGGGAAGACUUGCGUGUGUUUGAGGUCGGCGGAAUGCGUGGUGUAGCGGU
rnacentral:rRNA from 1 species